AUGAACGCUGCCAGAAUGCUUAACACAUGCAAGUCUUUGGCGAAGCUGUGCUUGCACAGCCUAGCCAAGGCGGACGGGUGAGUAACGCGUAAGGAACUUGCCCUGCAGUCAGGGAUAACAGACGGAAACGACUGAUAAGACCUGGUAAAGUCAGGCGGACUCAUGUCCAGCCUGAUGAAAAGAGAUGCUGCAGGAGAGCCUUGCGUCCUAUUAGCUUGUUGGUGGGGUAACGGCCCACCAAGGCGAUGAUAGGUAGCCGGCCUGAGAGGGUGGACGGCCACAAGGGGACUGAGAUACGGCCCUUACUCCUACGGGAGGCAGCAGUGGGGAAUAUUGGACAAUGGGGGCAACCCUGAUCCAGCAAUUCUGUGUGCACGAUGAAGGUUUUCGGAUUGUAAAGUGCUUUCAGCAGGGAAGAAAAAAUGACGGUACCUGCAGAAGAAGCGACGGCUAAAUACGUG
rnacentral:rRNA from 1 species